rnacentral:sRNA from 2 species
GCCCCUUCAAGAGCUAAGCCAUUAAGAGUGCCGGAGAUAAGCGCCGGAUGGGGCCGGAACCCUUAAGCCUGUAUUGAACAGACUUAAGGGUUUU